GGCUGGUCCGAUGGCAGUGGGUUAUCAGAACUUACUAACAUUAGUGUCACUAAAGUUGGUAUACCACCCCCCCACUGCUAAAUUUGACUGACUUGAA
ensembl:misc_RNA Y_RNA Y RNA